AUACUAAAGGUAGAUUCAGCAUCAUGUAGAAGUUGAGGAAGUCGACUCGUCGGCACUGAUUCCAAGGAAUAACGCUUAUUCUCAAUAAGGUAGGAACUUGCAUAAGUAGUAACUCUCACUAAAAAACCCAAAGGCUAUGGCAAAAACUCGAGUAGGGACAAAAUCCAUAGUCUAAGGAAAAAUGUAUGAGAAAUGCAAAGUUAAAAGAAACGUUUACAGGACGUCAUCAGGGAUAUGACCAGCCCAAGGUGGGUCCUCAUUAAAACCUAGUUAGGUAGCAAAAACCCAUUGGAAAAAAUGCUCCUAAUCGUAGGGAAAAAGAGUACAUUAAGAUCAAGCAAGUAUCUACAUGAUACUCCCCCUGAGUUUGACAUAAUUCCAAAGAGAAAUAGCAAAGUUACAACUUAGAAAGUUUACGCAUACCAAUUCCAUGAACAAGCUUCUGAAACGUCGCAUUCGGCAGUGAUUUGGUGAAGAGGUCGGCCAGAUUAUCUUGCGAACGGAUUUGCGUGACUUCAAUCUUCUGAUGCUCUUGUUGUUAAUGUGUAAAGAAAAACUUCUGCACAAUGUGCUUGGUGUUGUCUCCUUUGAUGUAACCCUUAUUGAGCUGUUCGAUGCAACCUGCGUUGUCCUAAAAAAUUGUCGUCGGGGCAUUAACGGCGGGAUGAAGAUCGCAAGAGCUUCAAAUAUGGCCCACUACUGCUCUUAACCAAAAGCAUUCUUGAGUUGCUUCAUGUAAGGCGAGAAUUUCAGCAUGGUUAGACGAAGUGGCAACUAAGGACUGUUUAGUUGACUACCAAGAGAUUGCAGUGCCUUCAACGGUAAAGACAUAACCCGUUUGAGAACGCGCCUUGUGCUGAUCGGAUAAGUAUCUAGCGUCGGCAUAACCAAUAAGGUGAGAAUCAACCCGAUGAGCAUAGGGUGCGGCAUCACUUGAGGAUUCGUAGGGAUAGAACAAGCCCAAAUCCGUAGUACCCUUAAGGUAAUAGAAGAUGUCUUUCACGCCAGUCUAAUGUCUGUGUGUUGGUGCAUUGCUGUAUCUUGCCAAAAGAUUAACAGCGAAGGUGUCGGGUCUAGUGCAUUGAGCUAAGUACAAUAAAGUGCCUAUCACACUUAGAUAAGGAACUUCAGGCUCCAAAAUCUCUUCAUCAUCCUCUUUUGGACGGAAGGGAUCUCGUUUUACAUCUAGUGUACGAACGACCAUAGGAGUACUGGAAGACUUCGCUUUAUCUUCAUUCAAACGGCACAACUUUUUGGGUGUAGUUCGAUUGAUGUACUAGGAUUCCAUCCGAACAAUGCUCUAUAUCGAGACUGAGACAGUAUUGAGUCUUACCUAGAACUUUCAUCUCAAAUUCUGACUUCAGGUGCGAAGCAGUUCUCGUGAGCUCUUCACGAGUUCCGAUGAGAUUCAUGUCAUUGACAUAUACUGCAACAAUCGUAAAUCCGGAAUGUGACUUUUUAAUGAACACACAAGGGCAUAGUUCGUUGUUCACAUAUCCCUGACUAGUCAAAUACUCACUUAGACAGUUAUACCACAUUAUUCCAGAUAGUUUCAAAUCGUAGAGUGAACGCCUCAACCAAAUUGAGAGCGUGUUCUGAGGUUUGGAAAUAUUUGAACCAGUCAAUGUAAGUCAUUCGGGAACUUUCAUAUAAAUUUCCGUAUCAAGAUCCCCAUAGAGAUACGUGGUUACUACGUCCAUCAGCUGCAUAUCCAGUUUUUCAGAAACUACCAGACUGAUAAGGUAGCGAAAAGUAAUCACAUCCAUAACGAGUGAGUAAGUUUCAUCAUAGUCAAUCCCGGGACGUUGCGAGAAACCUUGUGCUACAAGACAAGUUUUGUAACGCACAAUCUCGUUUUUCUCAUUAUGCUUCCGAACGAAAACCCACUUGUAGCCAAUGGGCUUCAUAUGUGGAGGAGUAGGAACUACAGGUCCAAACACCUUACGUUUCGCAAGUGAAUCGAGUUCGACUUGGAUUGCUUGUUUCCAAUUUGACCAAUCAACUAUACGUUGACAUUUAUCAACGGAACACGGUUCAAUGUCCUUACUUAAUAUGAUCUCAGUAGUUACUGUAAAUGCUAAUGCAUCAUCGAUAAUCAUCUCAUUUCUACGCUACAUCAUCUAAGCUAGUAUAAGAGACCAAAAUCUCAUGAUUCUCAGGAGGAGGAUUCGUCUCUUCAAGAACGCUUCCGUAAUCUAGAAUUUCCUCAUGAGUUGGGUAGAAUGAGUAAGCGAUAUUCAGAUUCACGGUAGGCUCUUCAGGACCUUAUGCCGUGGUUUUCCUCUUCCAGGGGUGUGAAUCCUUUGAACCAAGGGGUCUGCCACGUUUUUGUGUAGGGGCAGAUGAUUGGCUAGCCGCUAAUGUACGUGGAUCACCAGAAUUGACAUCCCGGGCUUCCAGAAGGGCAGUCCGUCGUACAUUUGGUACAUCCAUCUUUGCAGGCGUAUUCGCAGCUGGAAUAUGUGAUCUUGUCACGCGCGCUAGAUUGGUGAAAGCAUCUGGCAUGCUCUAAGCUAUGCUCUGGAGAUCUAAUAUGUGCUGCACUUCAGCUUCGAACUGAGGAGUGCGGGGAUCUAAAUGAGACAAAGUGGAAGUCAUCCACAAUAAUUUGUGUCGUUCAUUAGGAACAUUGAUGUUCUUAUCUCUCCAUAACGGCGGGAAGACUGUCUCAUAGAAGUGACAAUCAGCAAAACGAGCGGUAAACAGAUCGUCUGUCAAAGGUUCUAAGUAACGAAUAAUUGAAAGAGAAUCAUAUCCGACAUAGAUUCCCAUCCUUCGCUGAAGCCUUAUUUUUGUACGUAAGGGCGGCGAGAUCAGCACAUAUACCGCACAACAAAAAACGCACAGAUGCGAUAUAUCGGGUUCGCAUCCAGUGACCAACUGAAGGGCACUAAAUGGUUGUGUCGCAAUAAGCCUUAGGCGGACUAACUUUGCUGCGUGCAAUAUUGCAUGGUCCCAAGCAGCGAUCGGGAACUUGGUACGUAUGACCAAUGAUCGAGCAAUCAUUUGUAAGCAUUUAACGAAAGCCUCUGCCAGGCCGUUCUUGGUGUGAACAUGGGGUACAUGAUGUUCAUCUUCAAUCCCAACUGACAUGCAAUAGUCAACAAAAGUUUUAGAUGUGAAUUCUCCAACAUUAUCCAAUCGAAUAGAUUUGAUCGGAUAAUCAGAGUGGUGAGCCCUGAGCUUGAUAACCUGAGCCAACAGUUUGGAGAAUGCAACGUUCCUUAUGGAAAACAAGCACACAUGUGCCCAACGUGUGGAAGCGUCAACCAAAAACAUAAAAUAUCUAAAUGGUCCGCAGGGAAGUUGAAUCGGUCCACAAAUGUCCCUCUGAAUCCGUUGUAGAAAAAAUGGGAGGAUUUGAACGAAUCUUGUCAUAAGAAGGCUUAGUAAUAAGCUUUCCCAUAGAACAUGUUUGACAUGCGAUUUCAUGGAUCAAACCUAAGCUUCGGGUUAGUGGAUGCCCGUGUAAAGAUUUGAGGAUACGGCACAUCGCUAUUCGUCCUGGAUGUCCCAAACGAUCAUGCCAAAGCGUAAUUUCGUGCACGGUCCCUGUGGUAGGGCCGGCCACAUAGUGGCAUUCUAUGGGGCGUAUGGUCGUAGUAUAUAGACCACUCGGGAUACGCUCUAUCUUCUUGAGAAUACGCUUCUGGCCAUAUUUGUAGGAAGUUAUGCACAUAAAUUCAACUCCGUUUUCUACGUGGUAAUUGUUAUCUUUAAUGUCCUUGAAACUGAGUAACGUUCUUCUGGAACGUGGAGAAUAGAGUGCCUCAGCAAUGGUCAAGAUUGUACCAUUAAACAACAUUAUACGUGCCUUACCGUAUCCUUCUAUCAGGUUGGAUGGGCUUGAGAGGGUUGUCAGAGAUGCAUUCUUAGGUAUGAAGUUAGUGAAAUAGAUGCGUUCACGCAAAACAGUGUGCGUGGUUGCAUUAUCUGCCAGACAACUAACUUUCCCACUAGUCAUACCUAGAAUGAAAAAUUAAUUUGAAUCGGUCACAUGCAUAAAAGUUUAUAAAAACAAAUAUCAAUUCAAAAAUAAUUUCAUUUAUUCAAGGAUUAAAACUUAAUAUCCAAAACAAAUCGCCAACGAAUAAUCCAAAAACAUAAAGGAAAAUUGUUCAAAAUCAACAAAAAACAAGGGGGGGUUCGGCCACUAGGUAGAAUUCGGCCCCAAUGGUCUUAUUUUAACUAAAAAUAAGUCUAUGUCUAAGAUUCUAAUCUUCCAUAGGGGUGGUAUCCUCCUGAAAGUCAGAAACCUCCAUUUUUGUAGUCUCCAGUUCGUCCACUUGCAUGAAGUUUGAUUCAAAGCUUAAAUUUUUAUUGAAAAAUUAAACCUUAAAAUUUUUUGACAAAUAUUUCGUCAGGCAAGAUUUAUAAUUUAAAAAAAAAAUCUGAAAUUUAAAAGAUAAAUUUUAUUUAAAUCCAUAUAACUUCUUUUUACACCCAACUUAAAUUUUAAAUGUUAAUUGUCAUUUUUAUCCUAUUGCAUAAUUACUAUUAAGUACAAAAUAAAAUUAAUAAUAAAACUCAAAUUUAUCAAUAAACUCACACACUAUAAUUAAACUCUACCAUCACUCUGUGUUUAUCCUACAUUUAUUCCGGCUAAAACCUAAUAGCUCUUAUAGAGAAAAACAAGUUUUUUUAUUGGUGGAUGGUGAUUUUGAACUUUUGAAUCCUCCAUGACUCGAUUUAUGAAUUAUUCAAGACAAAUAAUUAUUUCUUUCAAUUAAUUUACAUCCAAACAUGACAUAACAUGCUAAUGAACCCUAAAAGGGGCUCAUAUUUUAGCACAUUAGAAGGUGAAAUAUCAACCAAGGCAUCUUAGGUAAAGCAUGAUAAGCUGAAAGUGAUUUUUGCAGGUGUGAACGUCACAUCCCGGUCACAACUCCGUCGUAGCACGAUAUUGUCCACUUUGGGCCCCGUUCACUCCCUCACGGUUUUGUUUCUGAGAACUCACACGAGAACUUCCCGAUGUCACCCAUCUUGGGAAUGCUCUCUCUCGAACUCGCUUAACUUCGGAGUUCCAAUGGAAUCCAAAGUCAGUGAGUUCCCAAAAGGCCUCGUGCUAUAAGAGGUGGGCAUGUAUGUAUAAAGCACAUCACCCACUCUUCGUUGGUCGAUGUGAGAUGUUACAAUCCACCCCACUUAAAGGGAACUCGGCGUCCUUGCCGACACAUCCGCACCGAACGGUAGAGUGGCUCUGAUACCAUUCUGUCACAUCCCAGUCUCGGCUCCACCGUAGCACAAUAUUGUCCUCUUUGGGGCCCGGCAACGCCCUCACGGUUUUGUUUCUGGGAACUCACACGAGAACUUCCCAGUGGGUCACCCAUCCUAGGAAUGCUCUCGCCCGAACUCACUUAACUUCGGAGUUCUAAUGGAAUUCGAAACCAGUGAGUUCCCAAAAGGCCUCGUGCUAUAAGAGGUGGGCAUGUACAUAUAAGGCACAUCACCCCCUCUCCGUUGGUCUAUGUGGAAUGUUACACUGAAUAACUAUAAGAAUAUGGGAAAUCAGAAAAAGAUGAACACGCAAAAAUUUAUAAAGUUGGUAGAGAUAUUUAUGAACAAGACAAAUGGGUGUAAAGAUAAAUUUACAUAUUGAAUUGAGUUUGUGAGGUAUUUAAGGUAGUAAAUUUGGGUUUAAAGAGAUAUUGAUAGUUUAGUUAAAAACCAAAUGGGUGUAAAGAGUAAGUUGGGUGUCGAAAGAGGUUACAUGAGUUUAAAUAAAAUUUCCCAAAUCUUAACCCAACGAAUGAUUUCGUGGUAAAAUUUAAUUAAAAAUAACGAUUUAUUUAAUAUUAAAAAAAAUCAAAGGUAUAUUUAAACUUAAUAAACUAAAUCCUAUAAUAUUAAAAUCAUAAUAUUAAACAAAUUUAUUUCAUUAACAAAAACAUAAUGUUUGCACAAUUAUAUUGUAAAUUAAAAAAUAAAUUUAUUCUGAAUGGAAAAUUUGUUCAGUCGUCCAUUAACCCGAAAGACAUCAAUUUUCAAAAUUUAUAAAUCCUGAAAAUUACCACUGAGCCAUUGCCAUUCGUCCAUCCUAUGCUCAAAUUCAAGAGACGAAUGGGUAAGAGCUUCCUCAUGACCUUCAAAAGUUUUGUAGUGGUUGCGUGGCUCAUACUUCCACUCCAUGAACCAAUCAUUCCACAAACGGUUUGUGUAGGCCGUCGUACCUGGUCUUCCACGCCAAUCUCAAAAUUGAUCUAAACUAGAAAAAAAUGAAGUAUUACGCAUAAAAAUACAUUAAGUAAUUAUCUAGAGUAAUUAAAAAUAUUAAAUUAAAAAAAAAAAAAAUUUACCAAGAGAUAUGCCAUCAGCCCUACUUCGUUUCAGGGGAGAUGUUCUUCCAUCUAUCAAUAGUCAUAGGGCACCUUGCUCGGAUGAUGACUCCUAUCUCGUGAGCCAAUAUUGAAUGAACACAGAGGUCCGCCGCAUGCAUAUAUCUUGGGUCAUGUUCUACCCUCACUCUUAGGCCUGGUUUGGUACUGAGGUGAUUCUGAAAAAAGUCCCAGCUUUUUUAUGUUUGGUAAACAUUCAGCUUCAAUUUUUUUUCACAGUUUUGGGUGAAAAAAAACCAAAAACACAAAGCUGCAAAACCCAGCUUUGAAAAACCAGCUUUUUUUCAUAUCUGUUUUAAAUAAAAGUUUAUCAAACACUAUAAUACUGCUUUUUUUUUUCAAAAACAUUUUUACAGAAAAGUUUACUAAACACUCUGCUGCUUUAUUUCACAGCUGCUUAUUUUCACAACACAGCAGAAGCAAUUUUUUUUCAAAACACAGUAAUACCAAAUCAGCCAUUAAGCCAAGAUUCUUCUAGACGCCCCGCUCACGGGGCGUCUUCCAAAACAAACUGUACCCAUUCUCAUAUCACCCAUCCCUAAACCGGACCGCCCUCUUUCUUGAUCCCCACAACAUCAAAUCAUUCCCCCACCUCCCAAACCCUUCCCUCACCAACUCUCCAAUUUUUUCCAACCCAAAUUCUCAUAAUUACAAAUUCAAAAUAAUUGAGGAUAGAUAUCAGACCUUUAAAUUUGUGAGAGUUUGAGAGUUGAAUAGAUGGCAAGUGUGAGAGUUUGAGAGAGGGGAAACGAUUUUGAGUGGGGUAGGGGGCAUUUUGGAGAGAAAAGAGAGAAUAAUCUACGACCUAAUAUAAAACGUCAGGAUUUUGCUCGACGAACCAUUUUAUCGGACAAAUGUCUUAAAUUAAAUAAAAACACACGGUAGAAUGUUAAUUUUUCCGACGAACACAUCCAUCGGCAAGUGUUCUAUAAAAAAAAAAUAGGGCCAAAAUUUUGGCCAAAUAAAUUGUUGAAAAAGCACUUCGGCCGAUGAGUUUUUGGUCAGUCAAUUGGGCAAACCCAAAAUUUGGAGGGAAAUUCGAUUUUUAAGAAAAAAAAUCGGGGGAUAUUUUUCACAUUGCUCGACGAAUUUUAGGUUUGGCGUAACGAAAUUUUAUACUUUGCCCUAUGAAAUUACCUUUUUCCAUCGGGUAAGUAAUAAAAUUAAAAAAUAUCUCCAAAGUUUGAAAUUUUUUUUGGGAACAAUUCAAUGAUAACCGAAUUUGAUGAUCAGGUGUAUUCAAUAUGGGUUUGAACUCUCAAGUAGCAUCUUUAGAAAAAAUAACAUAAAUCAAAAGUGAUAUAGCCGUUAUAUCGUUAUGCUAAGUUUGUAAAUUUCCAACCUUUUGAACCAAUCCCUACUCCCUCCACCUUAGUUUUGAUAGUGUUUUAUGUAUGCAUUCUCGUACUAUACCGAAACAAUUUUGACAAUUGGAUCAUGGAAAAUAAUUUUGUAGAAUUCGUAUCCCCACAAUGCAAUCAUUUUGUGAUAACCACUAUUGUAAGCUUUUUAAUUCAUGAUCCAUUCGAUUCACAUGACAACCAGCAUUUGAAGUUUCGCACAAUGAGUCUUUUAACCCUUAAUCUAUAAAUCGAGAUUUACAAAAUAAACGGUUCGAAUCGUUGAAAUUCGAUUUAAAGUGGAUUCCACAACUUUUAUACAAUUCUAAAUUUUGUAUAAAAUGAUAUAGUAUUUGAGUCAAUUCAUGUAAAUUAUAUUUAACCGUUCCAAUGCCAACAAAGUUGACCCACUUCACUUAUUGCAUUGACUUGACUCAAUACUGGUUUGUUACUAACGUGCUUUUAUAAAAAGUGAGUAUAAAAAAAAACUGAGCUCAAAAAUGUGUUUGGUAAACACUUAAAAACAUCUUAUUUUCACAGUUUUGGGUGAAAAAAAAGCUGAAAACGUGAAGCAACAUAAAUGUCGAAUUAUGAUUUCUUGUUAAACGUUGAAUUAUGAUUUUUUGUUAAACGUUGAAUUAUGUGUUUAAGAUAAAGUUUAUAAAUAUUUUUCUUUUAAAAAAAUUAUUUUUAGUAAUUCACCUUUAUUUGUUAAGAAAAUUAAAUUAAUGGCACAUCUAGUAUUAUACAAUUUUUUGUCAUUUCACAUAGUUACAACUGUUUUACAUAAAAAUUUACCAAACAAUAUAAUACUACUUUUUUUUUCCAAAAGCACUUUUACAAAAAGGUUUACCAAACACAGCUACUUUAUUUCACAACUGCUUAUUCUCACAUGACUUUCUCUGUUCCCGCGAAAGUGUGGAAAUCUAUCAACUUCUCAACCAUCCACAAAAAAAAAAACCCAAUAAAAAAUAGGGAACUUUAAAGAAAAGCUCCCGAUACUGUUCACUUUAACGAAAAACCACAUUUUUACACUAAAAAGUCAAUCUUGGUACUAUUUACUUUACCCUUUAUUUUUUCCUUAUCGUUAAAACUCAAAGUUUUCAAACCCUUUUCAUUAGUUUUGCUUAAAAAAUAUCCCACAAAACAGUAAAUUUAUUAACCGUAGAGAAAAAGGAGACCCACGUACAGGUAAUUUAUUUCAGGAUAAAAAUGUAAGGUAUUUACGUGCGUAAUAAAUAGAUGUCAUAAAAUUGAGACAGUGAAAGUGAGUGCAAAACAAAGGAAAACAGAGGAGGUUAAAAACAAAACUAAAAAAGUUAAUAAAUAUUUGUGUGGGGUUUUCUCAGGUGUGGUGUGCAGUGGCAGCCGUCCCGUCACGACUUUGACAGAAUAUUUACCGCGACAAUCAUCAUCGUCGUCAACAACCACACCCCCACACCAGCUAAUUUUACACAGAAAAAAAGAUAAAAUAGUACCCAAUAAGGCAAUAAAGAAAAACAGAGCGUUUUUUGGUCGGGUUUUGAACUUUUUAUUGUAGCUGGAGCUUCAUUUGCCACUUCAACCGCCUCAUCUGGGUCCCCUUAAACCUUGAUCCAAAAGGGUGUGCAGAAGUUUAAUUUAUCUGGGGUUUGAUAGAUUUUUUCUGGGUUUUGGUUUAUUUUUUUUAGAAGGGGUGGGUGUUCUGAGUGCUGGUUGAGGGCCAUUUUUGUUGGUUUGGGGCAAUUGCUUUUGUGUUUUUGUGAAAGUGCUUUUGGGGAUUGGAAUGUGGAGGGACGCCGGAAUUCCUGCUGAUUCUUUCUAUGAAGUCCGCCCUGAGUGUACAGAUGUGCCCAAAACCCGCUUCAAGAUCAAGGUUUCUCCUUCUGUUCUUUGUUUGAUUGUUGGAAUUAGAUAUAAAGAUUGAUUUUUUGGGUAUCCAUUAUCUUAAUUUUGAUCUGUUUCCCAUUUGAAAACUAAGAUAUUGCCUAAUGCAUCAGAUUUGAUAAUUGGUGGUGAUUAAUUUUGGUUAAGAUCAUGAAUUGUGUUCAUAUGGAUCACAAAAUGUUGUGCAUUUUCCAAUUUUAUAGAAUUUUUGGAAGGAAGAAUGUUGGGGACUGCGUUAAUGUUAACAUUAAUUGGUCAGCUUGUUGAAUUUUGUAAGGAGAAUGUAGGAUAGAUAUAGGGAUUAUUCGGGCGAUAAAAAUCUGAGUUAUCAGGAUCUUGUUGGUUCUCAAUAUGGAUCCGAGAGUCAAUAUGCUCCUACUCGGUAACGCCCACCCAAUAUGUUGGGAAUGGUCUGGUGUUGGUUAUGCACAACUUUAAAUAAAUUCUGAAUGCAUAAACGCUUACGUACACGAACAUGAAAAAGAUAAAUUGUGAGCAUUUAAGGGAAAUAUACCUAUAUCUGCACAAAAAUUUUCCUCAAACUCCAUCAUGUCAGGAUCUUUUAUUUGAAAGUUUUCUGAAGUUUGGACAUUUUUAUCUCUUUCUCCUUCUCCAUUUAUCAAGAUAUGUUUGUAAUGCCAAUUUUUGCUGGAUACCAAAGUACUAUGGAUCUGAACAUUGAUCUAGAUUAUGGUUCAUAGGGGUUAGCUCUUAUAAGAAUCUGAUUUGAUUAUAUUAAGGCUUGUAAACAUUGAGAAACUGAUAAAGACUCAUUGUGUAUUCUAUAAAAUGUGUUUGCAAUUAUCUUAUUACUUCAUAAUGAUUUCAAUGUCUCAUUACCGUGAUGUGCUUCUUCCAAUUUCAACGCCUUAUUUCUAUUUGCUCAUGCAGGCAGGUAAAACUCUUAGUGUAAGGAAAUGGCAGGCUGCAUUUAGUCCUGAAGGCCAACUGGAUAUAGGCAAGACUUUAAGUCGAAUUUAUCGUGGGGUGAGUGAAUCUUCAUAAUUCAUAGCUGCGCCCCUUAGUAUGUUAGAAUUUUCGUUAUAUUUAUAAAAAUCAGUUUUUCAUCCUGUGUAGCUAUCAGAGUGUCUCGACAAUCCUAUCAAUACUCGUCUUUAUGGAAUCACUUUUUUCUGUUUUUGUUGUUGUUGUUUUUUUAUUGUAAAAUCAAAUGAAAAGCCUACCCUUAGCCUGCUUACAUGAUGGGAAAUAUCUACGAAAUCAGAGCCAUCGGUUUAGUGAAAAAAUCAGAUUAACUAUUACUUAAUUUUAUUUAAGUAGUAUUUGCGCAUGAAAUAACAUAGAUGCUUCAUUGUUUGACCUUCCAGCUGUUGUUAGCCUGGUACUAGUUCUUCAUUUUGUGGAUAUCUUUAACUUAUUCUUUUAAAUAGUUUUCCUCAUGAAAUAAUCAAUUUACAAGGCUAGUAGUCAGCUUCAAUCCAUAAUUAUAUUAUAUUUGGCAAUCAGGGAAUUCAUCCAUCAAUUAGAGGAGAAGUUUGGGAAUUUCUACUAGGUUGUUAUGAUCCUAAGAGCACAUUUGACGAAAGAGAGCAGAUUCGGCAAAGUCGAAGGUAUAUCUUGUUUCCUGCCUUACUUGGGUUACUUGAAAUUUAUUUAUUCACUUGCCUUUUUUCUUUCUCUUUAUCUAAUGAAGUUUCCUAGUGGUAGUACACUUGCAAAUGAUGAUAACAGUCUAAGGAGAAAUUUAUUUCUGGUUCAUGUAUCUUUUAGUACUGCAGUCCAAUAUGUUUUGUAAUUCAAAGAUGAUCUUUUGGGAAAUGAAUGGUCAAUACCAUGAGUUGAGUUUUAUAACUUGCAAUGUACCCGAGUAAAUAAAUUUAGUUGACAGCAAUGUUGAAACUUGCUAGCAAAAGACUAAGGGUUUCCUCUUCAUACGAUAGUGAUCCAGACUCCAGCAUCUCUAUUUUGUGUGGGCUGUGUAAAUUCCCAAACUUACAGGCUCUACAUAAUGUUAUCUUGUCAGAUUCCAACAUGUUAUGCUUCACCUGUCCCGUUAUUCGGUUUUAUUUAUGAAGUAUCAUGUUUUGCCAUUUUCAGAGUGCAAUAUGCUAGGUGGAAGGAAGAUUGCUGCCAAAUGUUUCCUGUUGUUGGGAGUGGUAGGUUUAUCACUGCCCCCGUAAUCACUGAAAAUGGUCAACCCAUUCAGGAUCCCAUAGUACUUUCACAAAUAAAUCCAGACAAGGGUUCUCAGGAUAAUGGUUCAAGCACAAACCGUAAUAAUGCUAUGGAACCAGUAAUGGACAAAAAAGUAAUCCAGUGGAUGCUUACUCUACACCAAAUAGGUUUGUGAUAUAUUUAUGUGUUCAUAUUUUAAUAUGCAUCCUAUGGUUAUUUUGGAGGAAUAUGUUUUUCUUAUGGUCCGGCAUUUUUUCUUUUUGUUGUUGGAUGUACAACUCAGACUUUUUUAUUGUUCAAUUCUCUGUUUUCGUCACGUCUUUACAUAACCUACCUGCAAGAUGUGAAAAGUACUGAACAUGAUGGAUUGCAGAAUUUUUCAUGUUUUAUCUUGAUAGGGUAGAUAACUUUUCUGUUUGUCUUUAUUUGUAUGCCAGGUCUUGACGUGAUUCGUACUGACAGGACACUAGUAUUUUAUGAGAAGCAAGAGAACUUAUCAAAACUUUGGGAUAUUCUAGCUGUUUAUGCCUGGAUAGAUACAGAUGUUGGCUAUUGUCAAGGUUGGUAACAUAAGAGUGAUCAUUUUAGUACUGAUUGCAUCCCUUCCCUACACUUUGGGAAGGGACAAUAUUUUCAUAUUUGAUUUUUUCAAACGAAAAGAAAAUUAUGUUUCUAAACUCCACAAUUCAUGACGUGAUGAUCAGGAAUGAGUGAUCUUUGCUCCCCCAUGAUUAUCCUUCUAGAUGAUGAAGCAGAUGCAUUUUGGUGCUUUGAACGAUUGAUGCGCAGACUGGUAAAACUUUGAGCUAAAUCUUCGACUUUGUUUUUCAUUCUGGUGUUGCAUCAAAUCAAUGCCUAUCAUGUGUGUCUAAAAACUAGGGUUGCUAAGCUCUUCUUUCCAGAAAUUAACAGAGGAGAUGUGCAAUCUUAAAUCCAUGUAUUAAUGAGAUUCUUUAGAAGUUUUUGUUGAUAUCCUUCUGUUUUUGAAAAAUUGCUACAAUAUUUUUUUUUUCAUUUGAAGUUACAUGCUGUUUCUUUAAAGCUACAAAGUUAUUUGGUGACGGUUAAUUUGGAUUCCAGUUUCUUAUGACUUGUUCUUAUUUGAAAUUUAAAGCGAGGAAAUUUCAGAUGUACCGAUAGCUCUGUUGGGGUGGAGGUGCAACUAAGUAAUCUGGCUUCAAUUACUCAAGUCAUUGAUCCAAAACUUCAUGAGCACUUAGGUAUUGUCUUUUUAAUUUGUUGUUUACAAUUUAUGUCCAUUUACUUGUCAAACAUAGAGAAAAUAUAUGUUUCUUUAUCAAAAAAUUUGGAGACAUCAUAUGCGAUUUUCAUCAUAUUUAAUUAUUCAUAAUCUUCUUCUCAGAAAUGAUCAUGAAAAUACAUGUUCGCCAACCGUUUGGAAGAUAUUCGAUACAUUUAUUUAAGGAAAAAAAAUGUACCGUUUAUUAGGAUUUAAAUAUCAAAUUGGCUAUGUUUGUGUCAUGUUUCUCUUACAUCGCUCAACAUAUUGCUCAAAAAUGAGGGAGAUAGUAACAGAUAUGCUUAAUUCGGAGUGCAGAGACACUAGGUGGAGGUGACUAUUUAUUUGCUUUCCGGAUGCUUAUGGUUUUGUUCCGUCGAGAAUUCUCUUUUUGUGAUUCUUUAUACCUUUGGGAGGUGAGAAUAAGUUACUGUUAGUAACUUUCUGAUAUUUUUCUGUUCUCCCUUUUGGAUUUUUUUUAUUAUAUCUAAUUAUUGCAUGUAUAAAUACUUUUACAGAAUCCUUGAAAUUAUUUCUGGGAACCCACUUCAUUCUUUCCUAAGUAAUCAAAAUUUUCUCCAUAAUUCCACUUAUAUAUAGUUCCUUGAAUUUUAAUACAUGCAGAAAUUUUUGUAUUAGACCUUAUUUCUUCCGACUAAAAGUUGGCAAGCUAAUACUUACUUGACAAGUACUUUUUGAACAUAGGUUUUAAGAACUAUUGCACGCAUUUGAUAUUAAAGACCAAUACCCCAGAGCAUUUGUUUGUGUGAUUGGGAUAUAUGUGUUCCUGAUUGAAUAGUAUCUAUGCACUUCUGCUCUAUAAUGAAGAAAGGGCGUCGUGCGCAGUAAAUUUCUGUAGCUAUAUAGAUAUUGCUUUUUCUUUUUUCGUUUUUUGCCCAAAUAUAUCCUUGUUAUUUGUGUGUAAGUAUAUAUGGUUAUGUAUAUUUUUAUAAUAACUAUUGCACAUUUCUUAUGGUGCAUCCCGAACUUAAAAGAACUUAUUUAUAUUGGUAAGAAUUGAUCUCAUUUAAACUUUGACAGAUGAUGUGGGCCCUUGAAUACGACCCUGACUUGUUCAAUGUGUACAAAGAAUCUGAUCCUGAUACUGAGAAGGCUGAGGGGCCUAAAGGGAAACCAAAGUCAACACGUCAGUGUGGGAAGUAUGAGAGGGAAAACAUGAAAAGUGGAGCAAAGAAUUCAGAAGCACCGCUCCCAAUUUCAGUUUUCCUUGUUGCCAGUGUCCUGAAAGAUAAGAGCUCAAAGCUACUUACAGAAGCUCGGGGUCUCGAUGAUGUUGUUAAGGUUAGCAUUAUCAGUUGACAAUUUGCAAUUCUUAGAACCGAUUGACUUUCGGAUUAUAUUGAGAAUGAUAUUACAUGACUUAAGCAGAAAACAUGUCCAUGUGGGGACAGCCUAGUGAUAAAUUCAUCUAAAACAAUAAACAAGAAUUACUCAUAGUAAGAAUCCGCUGGCCUUGGCCAAACUAGGGUCCAGGAUGUUGCGUGGAUUUGGGAUAUAUAGUAAUUUACUCUGAAAUGUGAAAUGAAGUAUGAAAAAAAUAGGAAUAGGAGACUGGAGCGGCGACAUUUAUCAGCCAACCCUAUUAAAUCUUUCCUUGAAAAAGUGGAUUCAGCUAUGGUAGUCAAACAUGGUUCGGAGAAGAAUAUGUUGCUAUCGUUUUGUUCUUUCACAAAUGAUUACAUAUAAAUUCUAAAAGCCAAAUGAAACUGUUCCAAUGUUAUUAUCUUGGGUUUCCAAUUUUUUCUGUGUAGUUUUACAGCUUACAUUAGGUUGCAAUCAAGAUCAAAACCCUAAAAAAUGAUCACAUCUUCAUGUUGUUUUGUAAGGGAUUGGACCAUGAAUUUGACAUGGUUUUACCUCAACGGUUCUUAAAAAUUUCAAAUGCGUUGUCUAAUCCCUAAAAGAAAACAUUAAAAGUGAUCAUUUUAAGGAUUUUUGGCUUGAUUGCAACCUAAUGUUAACUACGAGGAUGUAGUUAGGAGUUUUUCAGGACGAAAUUGGAAGCCCUAGCAAACUGCAUGGACUAAAAUUGUCUUUAGGCCAUUUCUAACGCCCUAAGGGAGAAGUUCAAAAUAAUUCUCUAGAGUCGUUAGGGACUGGUGAAGAAUCUUUGAUCCGUUUGAUAAACAAAUACUCGAGCUAUCAAUUUUUCAUUUAAAUGAGUUGGAUCUUAAUUUUUGUACAACUUUUACCCGUUUACCUCACUCAUUCUCUCUGCCAGAUAUUGAAUGACAUAACUGGAAAUUUAGAUGCCAAAAAAGCUUGCACUGGGGCAUUGAAACUCCACAAGAAAUAUCUGAAAAAGGUACUUCAAUUUAUUUUUUAGCAGUGUAGAAUGUUGCUAUUCAAUUUUCAUGUCUAUAUUUGUGCAUUUCUUGUGCGUGUGCGUGCGCUCAUUUCAAAUGUUCUUAUAUUAAUCACUCAAAGUUGCAACAUCAUUCGUUGAUUUGUUACUGCAGGCGCCCAAGAAGACAUAGCAUCACUUUACACACGAUUUUUUAGCCACCCGAAAAAAGUAAGACGAUGUUGCUUACAUUGUUUUUUACCUGAUUUGGCAAGAGAUUAUAAUUUACUUGCACAUGAUCUUGGCUUAGAGUUGAGAGAGCUGCACAGUUGGUCCACUGUGCAAAAUAUUCCCAAUAGAAAUUGUUGUUUGUGAGAUUAGUCCAAAUUAAUUGUACAUUACAAACAUUCUUUAUAGGCCUAUAUUUUGUACAACCAUAACCGAACCGAGGCCUAUAUUUUGUAUAACGAUACGUUGUUCGUAAUGAUAUUAUGAGGGCUGGAAAAUGCUGAAGCUUAUGCAGUGCUCCAACCCUAAGACAUGAAAUUAACUUGCAGUUUUCUUUCUGAAAAUGUCUUCUUGUAUUUCCUUCCUCUCAUAACCAUAUGCAGUUAGUGCAGGCACUUAAUUUUUUUCAUUCAGUAAUUAUAUGGGAACUUUAACGAAAAGCACCCGGUAUUGUUCACUUUAACGAAAAACCAUAUUUUUACACUAAAAAGUCAAUCCUGGUACUAUUCACUUUACCCUUUAUUUUGUCCUUAUCAUUAAAACUCAAAGUUUUCAAGCUUUUUUUAUUAGUUUUCCUUAAUUAUAUUGGGAAAAGAUGUGGGUAGUUCUCCUAGUGUGUCUGUGUUUAGAAAGAAGUGAAAAUGCAAUAGGUAUAACCUACACAAAAGUUCAUUGCAACAUAAACACAACAAAAGAAUUAGAAAUGAAAAGAUUGGCCACAAGUUGGCAAAUUUAGGGCUCGUUUAUAGGAAAUAAUUACGUUUGUAAGCGCUUUUGUUCGAAAUACUUUUAUUAUAAAUAUGUAGAAGUUUUCUUUAUGUCGAAAAUCCAAGUGCUUUCUGGAAGCAUGUCUACAAUCUAGAAAAGCACGUUUAAAUUUUUCGGCCAAAGAUAGUUGAAAUCAUUUUUUAUUGUCAUAACGUAUUCUAGUCUUUUCAGAAGCAAUCCCAAUACAUGCCUUUUCAAGAGUGCAAGAUAUGACUUUUAUUUUUUAAUUUUUUAUAAUAAGUGAGCAUUUAACAAGUUAAAUAAUAGGCCAGGCACUUAUUCAAACUGAGUCUUGUCACGUAUCUUCUAUCGUUGUAUAAAGAGUCAUUCAUUACAUAACCAUGUAAUAUUAUUUUAUUAUUCCCAAAUUAUAUAAAGAUCAUUUCUAAAAACCUUUUUAACUUGGAAAUUGUUUAGCCAUGAUGAAUGAAUUGAUGAUUCGUUGUAUAAAGAGUCAUUCAUUACAUAAUCACGUUAUAUAUAAAUGACCAAACGGUCUCCAAGCUUAAUGAAUUUUGUAGAUAUAAGAUUUAAAUGAUAAAGAAAAUGAAAAUUUUAAAUUAUAAUGUUUGUACUCUAAAAUGUUGUCAUGUCGUCAUAUAAGAGAAAUGGUUUCUUACAUGGGAAAUAGAUCUUUUUCACCAAGACCACCGGAUCAAGUGAUCUGGAUCCUUAAAAUUUAAUCCAACGGCUAAAGUUAUUAUAACUUUUCAAGGAAACCUUUGUUUUUAGCCGUUGGAUUAAAUUUCAAAGAUAACGAUCACUUAAUCCAAUGAUCUUGGUGAAAGAGAUCAGGAGAGAAUCUCUUUCCUCUUGCAUGAAUGAUCCACACUGACUGAACCUACUCUAGUGUAGGCAAUAUGAACCAUGCUGACUGACUAAACCUACUUUCAAAAGUCAGGAUAGUUUGCGUCGGUAAAGGUUGUGCUCUUUCUUUUUCAUUUCUUAUCCUCACUCAUCAUCCUUCUUCAUCCCUCAUUUCCCGAAUAUACGUUUUUCAUUUUACAAGCAUAAAAAAUAAAAAUAAAGGAACGUAAUAGUUAUCAAACAGACUCUUAGAUUGUUGUAUAUUGAGAGGAGGCAUGGAUAUAAAUGUCAGUUCUGGUAUAGUCCCGUAUUAACUUAUCAUAAACAAGGAAAGAAUGACCACUGGAGAAUUUGACGUUAGCUUAAAUGUGUAGUAUAGUCUUCACUAGUACUGCGGUUUAGUGUAAAGUUUUAUGUACAACUCCAAGGAAUGACAAGUUCGAUAUUUAUUUAUGGUUGACCCGUUAUUUGACUAGCCCACAUCUCUUCCUCCAAUAUAGUUGUAUUAAAAAAGAAAGUAAAAAAAUGGUAUAUAGUUAUUUCUAGUUAUACACAACAUUCAAUAAGGAAUUCUAGGAGGAGCUCCUCACCCCAGGUAACAACAUCAUAAUAGUUUAGAGAAUGUUUUGCUUAUGUAUGGGCCACAUUAUUACAACUUCUAGGAAAUUAUAAAUUGAAAUCUUACGAAACAGAUCCAUGCACCCCUUAAUUAACUUCCUCAAAGAGGUUACCAUCAGAGGCAGGAUCUUUCUGCUCUCACAGAUAGAGCAUCUGGUUAGGAAAAACCAGCAUCUAAGGACAGUUUCAAUUCGAAGUAAAAUGCUCGAAAUCUGCAUGUUUCGGGGAAGUGGUAUUGCAGAGGGAAACUUGCCGCCACCAAUAUCGAGUUUGAAAAUGCCACGAUGAGGGGGAGACCAACCCGAAAGAACCCCUCAAACAAGCUGCCAUCUUAAUUUCUCUACCAGGACAUUAACAAGUAUUUUCAUGAACUAAUUAGAUUAGUGCCAAAUCCUUAAAAGUGGAUUUGUACUAUACUAAUUAAUGACCAUAGUCCUAUGAUACAAAUUUAGGUUCAUCAUCCUUUCCACAGACCAGCUAAUAGAGAUGAUCAUUUAGCGAUUGAAUUAUUAUUAUGAUUAUUUCAGUGUUCAUUGGAAAUUAACACACAUGUUCAUCUAUAUGUGUGCGUAUGUAUCAAUCUGGCUUGUCUUAAAAAUCGAUGUUUGUAUUGUAAUAUGUUAUCUUGAAUUUUCUAGUUACCCUGUUCCAACAUUUGGAACUGCUACAAACAUUAGAGACUGCAUCGAUCCUAGAUACACACAAAAAAAUGCUAGGAAAACAAAAAGACCACGCGAAUCCAUCCUCAUGAUUUGUAUAUAAUAGCUACGCACAUAAAAUCUUAUUCAAAUUAUCAUAACGUUUGUUUUGUGACUCGUUACAAUCUCUUCAUCAUCUGCUUUAUGUGUCUCGAGUUCGAGUAUGCAUGGACGGGCCUCGAAAUCAUGGUAGCAUCGUCACUCAUACAUAGUUCUUUAUCAGCCUUGAGUGCAUAAACACCGGUCUUCUUGCAGCUGACGUCAGACAACACCCAUCACAUGAGGAUGACAAAACAAAUAAAUCCGUCAUUAAUCAUGAAUUCUCAGAAAUAUUAAAACUAAUUAAUUAAUUUUCUAGCUAGUGAAAGCUAGAUAUAUCAAUAAUCUUUAACUAGCUACUGAAACUAACUCAAAAAUACUAUCUUUUGUAACUGGUGGUCAUCACUGUUUGGUGUAGCGUCACUCAGUCUUUACUUUAUUUGAAAAGCGACAUAGGGUUCAAAUCUACGUAGGGCCUAAAUAGAAAAACAAAAGCUAGCCCUAAUUGACGUUAUAAUUAACAUUUCAUUUUGUUUAUAUUUCCACUUUGAACCUCAUUUAUUCAUAUAAUCCAAUGACAAUUGCGAUUGAUGAACAUAAUUAAUUAGAUAUUUAUAUACAAUUAACUACUAAUUACCUGCAGAUAGAACUAGCCUUGCUGAUGGUUAGUGGAAGCGAUUUGUCAUGAAAAGGAAAGACAUGAUGGCUAAACAUAGGACCAAAAGAGCAUUAGACUUGAGAUGCCCUGCAUUGUUCUUGGGGAACACUUUAGGAAGAGCACACUCUUCUCCAUUGAACAACACUCUCGUUGGGAACCCUUGACCCGCUUUGAUAUCGAUAUUAUGAUAGUGCUUCUUCUUGAACGAAAUCACCGAUUGCUGCUUCCCGGGGAUCAUCGGAUUCUUUUUCGGAUCCGUCCCGUUUUUUAUCGCCACCAAGUAGUUCAAACCCUUGAGCCCUGUGAACAAGAUUGUGUUGUUGACUUCCUUUUCCAUCCUCGUACCGUUGAAGGAGUAGACGUUUUCGUAGUCCUGGUAGGCCUUGUUCAUCUUCACCGCGGUGUACCAAUCUUGAAACUGGUCGGUUCCCCAGUUGAAGAGAGUGAGCCUGGCGGUCCACCCGUUGCUGUAAUCAGAGUCGAUGUGCCAGUUCAAGCUGACACCGCAGUUGUCAGGGCACGGAAGCUUUUUAGGCACGUCGUAGUGCUUGAUUUUGGCCCAUGCUUUUGCCUUCUCGGUUCUGUUUGCGAAUGGCACGAGGAGAGCUUCGGCAGGCAAAAGCAUGGCGGAAGCCUUAGGGUUACAUUUGUUCGUCUCAGAUGUUUUGCACCCGCACGCGCACGUGCUGCAUGGAAUCACAGAGGUGCUGUAAUAAGCCGAAAACGAGACGCAGCAUCUGGGGACCGGGGUUUUGGUGAUGUUGCACACCACUUGCCAGCUGGCAAUGGCGUCUGACGUGGCCUGGAGCCCACUUGGGUCGGGGAACUGAGUAGGGUCAACCCUAAUAGGGGGCCCGCAUCUGUAAGUAGGGUUCAGAACGCCACUGAUUUUCCACUGCUGAGGUGGAGUUAUGGCAGUUCUGUUGUCGUCGGGUGGGAUCUUAAACACUUGCAGCUGGAAAAUGGACUGGGACUGUGCAUUGUCCAUGAGGCUCGGCAAGAUGGUCCCGUUGCGGCAGCAGCUGGGCAGUUUGCCGACCUUGGGAUCAUCCUUUCGCUCGGCUGGGAGGUCGGUGAUGACGGGCUUCUUUUCACAGUUCAUGACCUGAGAGAAGUCCAAGUCCUUGUAGAAUUUUCCGGCUUGGCCGUAGAGGCAUGCACUUGUGUCCUUCUUGUGAGUGUAGGCUCCUCUCAUGGUGUUGAUGAACUCUCCCCUCAUCCAUUCCCAGGUUAAGUUCCAGUGGUCGAGGCGGCCGAGCGGGUGGACGUUGUCGAUGGUGACCUGAGCCAGGUAGUUCAUUGUGUAGGUUUGCAUUACAUCGUAUGUGAUUGAGAGAUCCCCGUUCUGACGUGGCAUGAAUUUGGUUUUCUCGACUUUCUUCGCCUUGAAUUUUGGGUCCUUUUUACAGCACACAGACAUUGCAGUCUUCCCUGCAUGAGGAAAACAAAAAGGAUAUGCGUCAAUGCAUGCAUUUGAACCCUUUCAAGGUUCGUAUAUUAGUAUGUUCUUUUUGCCAAAAUAUUUGAUUUGUUAUCUUGUCAGAUAGUGAAUUGGAAUAGUGUUAAUUCGACAUAUGAUAUUGACAUUAUUAUUCACAGGUAAAGCUCACAUGUAUUAGAGAGAGUGUUGAUGUCAGUUUUAUAUAUAUAGUUAGAAAGUUGACCGUAUACAAUAUGACAAAGAAAAUAGUAACUAACACAUAUUUACAUAAUACAAGUAUGAAGAGAUUUAUGGAAUUGAGAUCACGGUUUGACAACAGAGUCAUUGGAAGAAUUAGGAACUGAAUUGAUACUCUUUUCAAGUUUUAUAUGUCUACUUAAUAGCAUUAAUAUAUCUUGGACUAAAAACCAUAUACAUUUCUUGAUGUUCAAUCUAAUCGAUCGUCCUAAAAGAUGUAAAGCCCAGAAAUAAGAACACCAAUUUGAUCGAAAUCAAAAUAUUCAAUCUGAAUCUCAUAAAAUCUUAUGUUCUGCAAACAUAUUUCUCAAAACAUCACAUGUAAUGUAAUGCAUGUUAAACAUUAUCAUUAAUAACACAAACAACCUUAUAAUUAAUUAACUAAUUACCUUUAAAUUUAGCAGCAGGGCACUUGAAGCCAUCAUUGACAAUGGAGAUGGUCUUGGGCAUCGGAGUAGACUUCUCUCCCAUCCCAAACUGCGUCCCUUUGAACGCAAUCUUAGCCUGAAUCUGGGUAUAAUCUCCGGCGGUAUCAAUCAUAGUUUUCAAAUCUGUCAUUGGAUACCCGGCAAAGUAUGCCCCUUUGGUUCCAACAUCGACGGGCAAAUCACCACCGUCAACCAUCUGAGCUCCUUCCGCGGCCACCAAGAUCUCCCGAUGCUGAAACCCUAUGUACAUCUUCCACGCCUUGAGCUCGGUCGACCCGGCGUUCAAGAUCGUCGCCUCCGACUUGAACGCCCAAGCCUGUGCCGACACAUUUUUCGUGUGCGGCAACUCCUUCUCCCUGGAGGUAAACGUGUACGACAAGAAAAUGCCAUCACAGUCUUCUUGCUCGGGAGGAGGAGCUGCCACAACAGCAUCUUCGUCUUGUCCGUAACAAAUCUCAACCCUAAAACAUGAAAACACCAAAAACACCACGAGCAUUGCUUGAAGAAAGGACGCGCGGGACGUCCAGGGUAUUUUCAUGCCCAUAUUACUUGUUUCCAUCAUUGCUUUUUACAAUAAUGUGGAGCGAGCUUUGAGGUUUCAAAUCUUUUCUUUUUGUUUUUGUCUAUUUUUCGAGGUUGAGGGUUGUUUCGUGUGUCGCUUGGGAGAGAGACAGAGAGAAAGAGAGAGAGAGAGAUCUAUUGAACGGUAGGCGGCCGCGCGAGGACGCGGCGAGUGAGAGAUGCUAUGAGGCCCUGGGAGGUCUGUGUAAACCCCAGGGUAGAGAGAGAUGGCUAGGUAAAAGAAGAGGAGCGACAUUAAAAGACUGGGUCAAGCUCUAUUUUCUUCCGCUAGUUUUAGCGGCAGGUUCGGAACGUUGUCCAUGCAACCGAUACUGUUUGAUUUCUGGUAGACAUUGUACGGAAAUAUAUCUGAUACACACGCUGUAAAUAGAUUUCGGUAUCGAAAACUAUGCCGUUUCUGAGUUUUUCUUUUCUCUUCUUGUUUUCGGACCGAAACCACCGAAACGGUUGCUGUGAUAACCUUCUAAUUAACUGUUUUGAGCUGGCAAAAACUGCAUGUCACAUAACUUGCAUUGGACUAGUUUGCUCACCUCAGAUUGCCGACAUGGCACUUCGAACCAAUCAUUUUUUUUAUUUUUAGUAAUCACAAAGUUCAAGUACUAAAAUAAAUAUAAAUUGGCAUGAAAAUGUGAAAGAGUCGAAUCUGUGUUGGAUAUCACUAUGCGAUGUGCUGCACAAAAGGGAUUGGCAUGAAAAAUCAGUAGCUAUGGGGAUCCUAGCUAGGUUUAUUUUGUUCUAGAUUUUUAGCCAAAAUGUUUUCUGAGAUUAAGUGGUUCUUAAUUUUGUCUACUCUACAUCAUUUUGGUCAUUCAAUGAAAAAUACGUUCAAUAUUCUUGUUAAGUUGAGAUGUUGGUUUGACAAAAAUACUCUUUGGAAAGGUAAACACGUAGUUGUUUACGUGACAAUUUAACAAAGAUAUUGACAACUUUUAUCACAAAAUGACCAAAUUGAUUUACGAUGGACAAACUCAAAUACUGCUUUUAUCAAUUAUCAUUGUCAAAGACCAAAGUAAGGAGAUCCAAUCUCAGAGACAAUUUUUGCUAAAAAGUCGGUUCUAUCUUCUUUCUUACUUUUUCAGUAUUUUAAUUACCCUUUAUUAAUUCUAUAAUGGAUAUAAUUGCGUGAAUGACUUGUAGCUCAAGUAGUUUAAAGUGCUCACUUUCAAUAAAGAGUACCCCUAUAUUUUCAUAUAAUUUUAAUUGAAUUGCUUUCUUCCACGCCUAUCCGCAGCACAGUCAUUAUUUGUUCAAGAAGUUAGCUCCCCGCUAAUACUUGGGAACUAGGGUAUCCAGUUAGUACAAUAAACAAGGCAACACAGCUAUAACCGAAGAUAAUAUCAAAACGCUAAUUAAGAAACCUACCCCUACGAUCUCUUAUGGUUACAUAUCCUGUUAAUUCAGUGUGCACGAUUUUCAUUACUUUAACCAAAUCAAGCGACAGUUAUCUCCGUCCCGCCGCUGAUUUCUUCAACGAACUGCGCUUUUGGCUCCAAGUCUAUGAACUGGUUGGACUUGCUAGCAAGAUGCGAAAUGCUUACCCUUCCCUGACGCUUAAUGUAGUCUGCUACAGCUUGCAUCUCCUCUUGGGAGAUGUAUAUGUAUUUCCCUCUGUCAUCCAUGACGCCAGAAAGUCGCCCUAACACAGACAAAUACAACAUUUUCAUUCUCAACGAAAAGGUAUUUUACCUUCUGAAGCAAAGGAAUGAAUUAUUCAUUAGGUACCACAAGUCACUGAGGAAAUAGCUCUGCACAUACCCAUACUCUCGAGAUUGGUAAUUCGAUAGAUGCAUUCCUGCAUGAACCAUCAGUUGCAUUGAAAAAUUAGUAAGCCAAAUCUGGCAAAUUAAGUUGACUAAUCACUUUCAGAAAAUAUACUUCCAUAUGCCUUACUAAAUUUCAAAUUAAAACUUCAUCUAUUAAUGCACUUUGAGGCACGAAGAAGACAUGAAAAUUGCUGAUUUAUGUGUUACUUCAGGAUAAAUAUAAGUUACCUGAGUCCUUAACUUAGAUUCAGCAGCAAGAUCUUCCAGAGGAAUGCAUUUAUGUUUCUGCAAUGUCAAAAUUAACAGUAGUAUUAAUAACAAAAUCACAACUCAACUUGAAAGCCUCAUGUCUCGAAUAGAAACAAAACGACACAAACAGUUAAAAGAUUAAUAAACUCUAAACUGGAUUGGAUAAGUUAGAAACUACAACCCAACCUUAAACCCCCAAAACUUAGAAGCUCCAUUUCAUCCCUAGUUUUGUGCAACCCGAUGGCGAUGGAGAUAUUAGGGGGCUAGAGUAUGGAACAAUAUCUUUGAAUGAAUUAACUGAACUCUACCUUUAUGUAUUCCACAAAAUCAGAAAGCAAAUCCUGACAUCCAUCCUGCACUUCAUUCUCGGUCAUACCUUCAGCAUCUAUUGAAAACUCGCCUUUCCACUUCUCAAACUCUAAAGCAGCAGCUUCCUCCUCCCUAGCCUUUUGAGCUUUGGCUUCUUCCUCCUACAAAACCGUGGCCAAAUCUUUGGGCAGUAACUUAACAACACAAUAAUACACAUCCUCAUUUUCCAAAACAGAAACAAAAGAGAGACGUCAACGCACCAGCUGACGCUCCUGUGCUUCACGCUCCUCAUCUUUCCUCCUCCGCAUUUCAGCAUAGCGGUCUUGUUUUGUUACCCUUGAUUCACGUGCAGCUUGUUCAGCCUUCAAAUAAAGAACGGACUCAAGUAAAUAAUUACUUGUGCUUCGAUUGAAGGGAAAAGGGAAGAAAAUAAUAUAAAAGCAGUACAAGUAAACCAUAAUCAAGGAUCCUCCGAGAGCAUAAGCAUAAACGCAAUUGAAGGUUUCAGUUACUUCCACCAUUUCGGUAAUUUAAAUCGAUUGAAUGAUGUAGUAAUCAAACUUCUAACAUGUCCUACACCUCAGUGACUACAUAGAAGUGGUUUCUGUCUUUAUUACUCAAUGUAGAUAGUUGGAUAAUUAGAAACUCGCUAAAAUUUAAGGCCUGUUGGGUAUUCAGGACAGGACAGGACACAUUAACUAGAAAUUUUAAUCAGGACCGGAGAGGGGGAGAGAGAGUAUGUGCAAUCCUUCAAAUCAGGAAGUAAAAGAAAGAAAGAAUACUUGUCGUUGUGCUUCCCGCUCUUGGCGCUUCUUUUCCCUCUUCUUGGAUGCUUUAGCAUCAUACUCGCCCUCAACAUCUUCCCCAUCACUUCCCUCAACGGAUUCUGUAUUUAAAAAUACAUACUAUGAGUUCAUUUGACAGAAUAACACAUUUUUCAACUUAUUUAAUAUCAUUAGCACUUAAAGCUAGCUAGCUAGUGCAAAAGCUCAUAUACAAAAUGUGCAGCUAUACAAGUCCAAAUUUGCACUUCAUACGCCGCGUACAUUUUCCAUACAGAAUACCUAAUACAUCCUUUACUUCCUCAAUUUUUGUACCCUCCUCAUGAAUCCAUAAACCUUAUGACUCCUCUCUGGAAAUAAUCAUCGGUCUACCCCAACAGAUCAAACCAUGUAAACCAUCAUCACCCCAAAUCCUAAUUUGAUCAAACCUUUAUCUCUCACAGAUACGGUUGCUUAUAUUUUCGUUCCAGAUUAUCUCGCCACUGCUUACCAAUUUAUUCAAUCCCGCCGCUGAGAUGCUCAGUUGAUGAUAUCUAUUUCAAUCACAAUUCAAUCAAUUACAAUCGCUUCUCGAAUCAAAGAGAAACGAACAUCACAAAACAGCAGAGUCACAAUUACUCAUGAACUUAAUCCAAUCUCUUACUAAUAUAAAAUCAAAUUUAGUCACUUCAAAGUAAAACACAAACCUUCUACACCUGGUGCAGCAGCAGCUGAUGUGCUUGCUCCAGAAGCCGGCCUCCUACGGAUCCAGCGACCGCCAGGCGCACGCACCACCGCCUCCCUCUGAGCAACCUAGAUCAAUAUGAACAAUCCAGAAAAAAUCUAUAUAACUAAAAACAAUUACGCUGCCGCCGAAUUAGGGCUCAAAGAAUCAAACCUGAGGUUCUUCUUCGUGUUCAUGCGAAGAUCGAGAAUCUUGACGGCGUUUCCAUAGAAAUAGUGGAAUUAAUCCCAAAACAAGAAGCAUAGAAAGAAAAAUUGCCAACAUUUCCUCCAUAUUUUCUCAAUCUCAGGCCCCGUUGAUGUUCCUUUUCUUUCUCUCAAUUCUAUUUUCUUAGGAAUUCUCGGAAACCAAACAAAGAGUUAGGGUAAAGCGAAUACCUUGAGAGCGGUUAAGCUUCGUACAAUCAAUGGAGCCUGGAACGGUUUGAAUAGUGAUUAUAGGACCUAAAUGUAAUUAGCAUGAAUUGGGAAUCAUUAAACUUACAUGGAUAAAAAAAAUUAAGAUUAUUACCUUAUAUUUGGAUGAAGAAAUUUAAGAUAUUAAUAAAUUUUAAAAUAAGGUAAAUUGAAAUAACGGAGUUUUAUUUUCUAAAAUUUGUGAAUUUUCUUAUUUGGUUAAUCUAAAAGAAUAAUGGAAUUGAAUACAAAAUUUAAUAUUUUUAAACUCUCAAUAGUAGAAAUUUAGAAAUACACCUAUUUAAUUUACAUGGAAUUUAAACUUGGGAAAAUUAUAAAUUUCUAUUUAUGAAUUUAAACAAGGGAAUUGGUGCAUGUCAAUUUAUAAAUUCUGACUUUUAUCUAAAUCCCAAAUUUAUUUUCCUCGUCUUAACAUAGUGUUAGAGAUUAGAUUUCUUCUGUUGUAUAAAUCAUUUUAUUUCUAUAGAGAUUUUUCUGUGUUCGAAAUAAAGACGUGUCAUUAUAAUACAAGUAAUGAGAUGCUUGUAUUAAAAAUUAACAACUUAAACAAUAAAACAUCCCUCCACUUAUAUAAUGACAUAGAAUAUAUUGUUCGUGUUACGCGCACAACCGCACAAUGAAAGAUUCCCGUAUUUCUCUAUACAUAAAUAUUCACACAAUUAUCACUUUUUCAAAAUUUAAAUAUUUUAAAGUCAAAAUAUUUAUAAAAAUGAAUAUGAUUUUUAGUUUAAUUUUAUAUAAAUAUCCUUUAAUAAUAUGUGACUUGAAUUUCAAGGCAAAAGAAGGAAAAAAAUUGUUUCUGACAUAUGAAAAUUGUCUAGGUUAAAUUUUUAAAUUUUAACCCACACUAUUAGAUAUGAUCUAUCAUAAAAUAGCUGAAUGAAAACAAAGUUUCACGUUCAAUUUUGAAUUAAAGACGUUAAAAAUAAUGAAUCAACGACGUUAAAAAUAAUGAAUCAACGACGUUAAAAAUAAUGAAUCAACGUCGACUAUAACCCCUUACCUUCCAAGCUACCGAUGCGAAUUCGAAUCUCAAAACUAACGAGCUUGCAACCAUUAUAUCAAAUAUCCAUCUAUGUCCCCUAAUAUUCUAUUUAUACUCUUCGUUCAUCCACGAAAACUCGAUAAUUGCUUGGCACGCUGUCUGUCAUUAUCGUGCUUAGCAAAUAACACAUCUCGUGCGAAUUGAGAGCCUUUAGGAUCGCAACUACGUGCCUCUCUGCAACCGCGCAGCAGCACCCAUCAAUUCCCUCUCCCCUAUUUCCCACAAAUUGCCCACACCCCUCGAACCCACAACCUCGACUUACUCCCCUACCCCAAGACUUCUUCAGCGAAUACCCAAAAAAACCCAUAAAUUUUUUUUAAAACGGUAAUAACAGAGAGACUAAAUUUUUAAAUUAAAUUUGCAAAUACAUACCUAAGAAUCAAAUGAUGUGAUGCUACCAUUUCAUUUCCAACGAGUCCGAGCCAAACAUCCAACGCACACAGAGAAUCCAUCCAUCCACAUUAUUAUCAAAACUCACGUAUGUCCCAAAACACAUCAAAUAUCUACAACAGCCAUCACUUAGCCACCAUAAAAAAUCGCUCGCUCACUCAACCGCGCUAUUAUUUUCGGCUUGAAACUGGUUUUUCCCUUGUUUAUUAACAUAAAACGUCUGGAACUGGUUUUUCCCUUGUUUAUUAACAUAUAAGGUGACAAUUAAGCCUCGGCGAUCUCAGCGGAUUCUGCAGCAGCUAGGAUCAGCUCCGGCUGGAUGCCUCCGACGUAUGAUCCAUCCAAUGCGUUGGGGAGUCCCAGUGCCUUCAAUGCCAAGUGAGCUGCCUUUUGCCCUGAGAUCAUCAUGGCUCCGAAUGUAGGUCCCUGCAUCCCCAAUAAUGUUACAAAUUAUAUUAUUAGGACUACGUUGAUAUCGACGGAUACCAAACCCACAAUGUUUAUAUCAAGUGGGAAUCUUAUUAGGACCACAUAAAGAUCUAGUAAUGGUACUAUUCCAAACAUAAAAGAACAGGAAAAGAAUGGAAGAGCUUUUGGACCCACGUUCUUUCGAAAUCACUAUGCAUGGAUUGAGGCUUAAGUAAUUCUACGGUCCUAAGGUGUUUUUGUUUCGUAAUUAAACGCCGAGGGGAGAGGCCACUGUCUAUCUACGCUGUGCAUUUACAUGUCAAAAUUCGAAGCUUAAAACUAGGACGUUAUGCUUGAUAAAUCAAAUAUUCUAAUCCUUAAUGUUUUAUCUAAAUCGUCUAAGCCCACCACCGCGAUCACCAUUUUGACUAAAUGUGAUCGCGAUGGCUUGAAGCGGUUGGAUAAAAUCAGCCAAGCACAGUAAUGGCUAUACCAAAAAGUAAAACAGUAAAUAAAUCAAGAACAAAUGGAAUGAGUCAGAAAUGUACCAUUCUUGGGGAUCCAUCAAUCUCGGCAACUUCCAUGCCGGUGACGAUCAUUCCUGGCACAAUUUCCCUUGUGAGCUUCACGAUAGCAUCCUCAGCUGCGUUCAUGUCCAAGGCCUUCAUCCCGGGCACGCUCUCAAUCAUCCCAACGCUCCUCAGCCUCUUUACGCCGGUGGCUCCCAUGGGUCCGUCAUGACCACAUGAGCUCACCACAACCUUGGCCUCCAUGACGUUGGGGUCCAUGCACGACUGUGUGUCGUGGUUCAUUGAGACCAAGGCCCAGUUGGUGACCACCCCACCAACUCUGCCACCCUUAAUGAUCAAGUCCUCGGCGGCCACAGCGUUGAAGAGCUUCACGUUGGGCCGGGCAAGGAGCUUGCUCAUGAUGGUGGAGGUGAAUAGGGCGGCGUGCUUGAUGACAACGUAGUUGUCUUGCUCAUCGUAGUCAAUGCCGAGCUCGUUAAGGAAGAGAUGGGCGGGUUUGCGCACAACCUAUAUAUGUCAACAUAUAAAUUAAAUCUUAAGUACUACAAAAUAUAAGACAAAAUAUUUUCAAAAUUUUCAAGUUAGAACAUUGAAAUAUUUUCGAAAUUUAUGUUGCUUUCCAAAAUUGUACUUUUAAUUUUCAUAGCAUUCAUUUCUCACUAGAACAUUUAACCAAAUAUAAGGCCAACCCAUUUAACGGAAUAAGACUUGGUUGCAAUUGUUGUAAUGUUAACUAAAUAGCGGGAUUAUCUCGCUUCCAUAAAUUCACCAUAAUCAAGCAAUCUAAUUGUGAUUCAUUAGUGCAUAGAUGAAAUCUAUAUAUAUUGUAUAUUUGGAAUUAAUUAAUAAGGAAUUACUUUUCUACAAAAUAUACAAAAUUUGUUUGAUUUACGAAUGAAAAUACAACAAUAUCAAACUAUUUAAUUAAUUACAAAAAUGGAAAUAAAGAAAUAAAUUACAAAAAAUAAAUUAACGAAUAUUUAUGCAAAUAAAAACAGACAUGCAUAACGAUACAGGUCAAAUUAUCCAAACAAGAUGGGGCAUGCGCGACACGUGUCACAGUCAAACGUUUCAUUCAUUUUACCGACAAACAUGAAUUUCAAAUUAACAAACAAUUUCCCAGAAAAAAGGCCAAAAAUUAAGCACCCGGAAACCUUAAACGACCAAAAAUGAUAAUUAAACUACAACAAAUCAUUAAUUAAAAGUUUCAAUAACUUUCCAAAAAUAUUAAAAUUAAUCAUAAAUGACAGUAAUUACCAUGGCAGAGAAGAGCUGGCCACCGAGCCAUGCACCUCCACCGGGGCUGACGGACUGCUCGAUGAUGGCGACCUGAACGUCGGGGUUCUUGCUGAGUUCGUAGGCGCAGGAUAGCCCGGCGGAGCCAGCACCGACGACAACGACGUCGGUGUCGGCGUAGGUGAUCAUGUCAGUCAUGUAGCGCCUUGUCAUCUCCCGGGAGACGAUGGAUUCCUUGAUGGGGUCGAACUUGAAAGCGCUCAAGUCGUAGGAGGGGGUCAAGCCGUUGGCGGACAUGGAGACGGAGAGGCCGCCGUUGUUGGCGGGGGCCGCCUUGGCCAGCUGAAGGCGGACCAUGGGAGCGCCAUGGAAGGAGGAGUCGAGGAGGGAGGACUUCUGGAGCUUGGCGGUGAGGGAGGAGGAGGUGAGGGUGGAAGCCAUGGUUGCCAUUGAUUGAUGCGAGAGAAGGAGAGAGAGGGAGAGAGAGAGAAGAUGAUAAGAUGGGGUGAUUUGGGGGUUUAGCGUUUGCAAGUCAGAAGAUGGAAGUGAAGAGAGUGGUUAUUUAAGGAGGAGGGUGACGUAUAUGUAAAAUUGAAGAUGGACACGUGGGAAGAGGAUAGGAUAUGAAGGGUCUAGAACCUCUUGGGAGGUACAAGUGGCAAGCAUGAACCAGUCCACGGUGUGUGUUUGAGUGUGAGGAGAGUGAAUAGAGAGGGAAAUGUUAGAUGACAAAGUUUAUA
rnacentral:lncRNA from 1 species